AGCAGCGGCGCGCACUCCGGCUACGGAGCGAGACUGCAAGCGCGGCGGCGCGUCAGCCCCGCCAGCCGGUCCGCGGUCGCCGGCUCCGUGCGCGCCUCCCCGCGGGCCCCCGGGCGUCCGUGCCCGGCGCGGGUCCGGUGUCACAGCCCCGGGCUCCCGCACUCACGGUGAGCUCUUGCGGCCACUGCGUCCAGCCCCGGAGCGCCGCGCCGCAGACCCACUGCGCUGCGACGUCCGCCCCGGACUAGGAUCUUAGUUCCCCGACCGGGGAUUGAACCCGCGCCCUCGGCAAUGAAAGCAAGGAGUCCUAACCACUGGACCGGCAGGGAAUUCCCAGGAAAGGUCUGUCAACCUGGACCAGCAUCCAGCCACUAUCCUCUGAGCCACCAAAGCUUAUACACCCCUUUGUUAUUAAAACCCAGCAUAGGGCUUCCAGUGACGCAGUGGUUAAGAAUCUGCCUGCCAAUGCAGGGGACACGGGUUCGCCUGGUCUGGGAAGAUCCCACAUGCCGCGGAGCAACUAAGCCCGUGAGCCACAACUACUGAGCCUGCGCGUCUGGAGCCUGUGCUGCGCAACCGGAGAGGCCAUGACAGUGAGAGGCCCGCGCACCGCGAUGAA